rnacentral:misc_RNA from 1 species
AACUUUCAGCAACGGAUCACUUGGCUCUCGCAUCGAUGAAGAACGCAUCGAAAUGCGAUAAGUAAUGUGAAUUGCAGAUUUUCAGUGAAUCAUCGAAUCUUUGAACGCACCUUGCGCUCCUUGGUAUUCCGAGGAGCAUGCCUGUUUGAGCGUCAUUAAAUUCUCAACUCCGAUCGAUUUGUUUCGGUCGUGGACUUUGGAGCGGGCUUGCCCCCUGUACAAGCGGGUCGGCUCCUCUGCAAAGCAUUAGCGAAUUCCUCCGGUUCUAUGUGCGCGUUGCCAUUGAUAAUUGUCUAUGCCCUUAUGGCAACCAGAAUUCAAAACCCUUCCGCUUACAAUGGUCCUUUCGGGGACAAACACCUUUUGACAAUCACCUCAAAUCAGGUAGGACUACCCGCUGAACUUAAGCAUAUCAAUAAGCGGAGGCU